ACAAACAGGAGCCCACUGGAAAAUGACAGCCUGGGAAGGAGGUGUGUUCUCUAUAGCUUCAUUGUCAGACCUUCUGCCUGCUGAAGCCGUAAAUGGGGUCUGGGGAAAAUAGGAGCCGAAUGGAAGGUGACAGCCUGGGAAGGAGGUGUUGUGUCCAUAGAUUCAGUGUCAGAGCUGCUACCUGCUGAAGUACUGAUAACGGCUGAAGCCCUAAAUGGGGGGCUCAGGAAAACAGGAGCCAAAUGGAAAAAGACAACCUGCGAAAGAAGUGUGGUGUCCAUAGGUUCAGUAUCAGAACUUCUACCUGCUGAAGCUAUAAAUGGGUGGCUGUGGAAAACAGGAGCCAAAUGGAAAAUGACAGCCUGGGAAGGAGGUGUGUUGUCCAUAGGUUCUGUGUCAGAGCUUCUGCCUGUUGAAGCCAACAAUGGGAGGAUGGGGAAAGCAGGAGCCGAAUGGAAAAUGACAGCCAGAGGAGGAGGUGUGUUGUCCAUAGGUUCAUUGUCAGGGUUUCAACCUGUUGAAGUACCCAUGACGGCUGAAUCCGUAAAAGGGGGGCUGAGUAAACCAGGAGCAGAAUGGAAAAUGACAUCCUGGGAAUGAGGUGUGGUGUCCAUAGGUUCAGUGUCAGAGCUUCUGCCUGCUGAAGCCGUCGAUUGGGGUUCGGGAAAACAGGAACCGAAUGGAAAAUGUCAGCCUGGGAAUGAACUGUGUUGUCCACAGUUUCAGUGUCAGAGCUCCUGCCUCUGGAGGCCAAAAAUGGGGGCCUGGAAAAAAAAACAGCCGAAUGGAAAAUGACAGCCUCGGAAGGCGGUGUGAUGUUCAUAGGUUCAGUGUCAGAGCUUCUGCAAGCUGAAGCCGUAAAUGGGGUCUGGGGAAAACAGGAGCCGAAUGGAAAGUGACAGCCUGGGAAGGAGGUGUGUUGUCCAUAGGUUCAGUGUCAGAGCUUCAACCUGUUGAAGUACCUAUGACGGCUGAAUCCGUAAAAGUGGGACUGAGGAAACAGGAGCAGAAUGAAAAAUGACAGCCUGGGAAGGAGGUGUGGUGUCCAUAGGUUCAGUGUCACAACUUCUGCCUGCUGAGGCCGUAAAUUGGGGGGCUGGGGAAAACAGGAGCCGAAUGGAAGAUAACAGCCUGGGAUGGAGGUGUUGUGUCCAUAGGUUCAGAGUCAGAGCUGCUACGUGCUGAAAUACCGAUGACGGCUGAAGCCCUAAAUGGGGGCUCAGGAACACAGGAUCCGAAUGGAAACUGACAGCCUGGGAUGGAGGUGUUUUGUCCAUAGAUUCAGUGUCAGAGCUUCUGCCUGCUGAAGCCGUAAAUGGGGGCUGGGGAAAACAGGAACCGAAUG